GGGAUUUGGGGAGAUCUUAGAUCCUCAGAGCCUCAGGGUCACAAGGUGCUUUAAUUCAACCCAUAAGAUCAUUGCAUCAAAUCCUUAAUGUCCUGCAUACGAUAAUUAACCAAGGGGUCCUUGUAAGCUGUGAAGCACCAACACAGGCCCAUCACUGUGCUUUCCCACUGUCCUGGCAACUGGUUCACUACCCGUUAUUCUGCUUUUUUCGUGCUAGGUGAGCCAGGAAUGGUUGCAGUGGGAAAGACCCAGCGUGUAGCAACAACUUCAGACUUUUCUAAGACCCCAACAAGGCUGCAGUGAGGCUGAUUGUCUUGGGCAUCCCUUGUAUUUACAAUCCUUCAAAAUCAAAUGGCAGCAACCAAGAAAGCAGUGGUGUCAACCCUAAAUGCCUGCUGUCUGCUCCUCCUUUUCCCAAUUUGCCUGAACACUCUUUGAGAGCACUGGCCGACCUGCAUGUGCUGGAGACUGGAUCAUAUAAUGUGACAAUAAAAUGAAAUUCCAACCUGGAGGAUUUGACCACAGAGGGCCCCGUCUGCCAAGAGAUGUCACCACCCACUCAAAGAUCUCAGAUCCAGAAAAUACUGGUGACAGAUGUUUCCAUCAGUGAUUCUCAGCUGGGCUCCAGGACAAUUAGAAUGCCAGGAAACCCACCUGUGGCAUCCAUUGACAUUGGACCCAAGGAUGGCUUUCCGGCUCGCUAAGAAGCUCCCCCUGUUGACUUGGCUGGGCCUCCAAAAUAAAGAAAUUAGCCCCCGGUGUCUGUUCCCUGCAAGCAUUCAUGACAAGGUCUCUGUCUGGCCUGAGUCUCCUGAAACAACUUGAGAGUAUUACACAGUCCAAGAUAUUAAGUUUAAGACAAUUUAAAAAAAUCUGAACGUUGUCAAAUUUGUCAUUGUCCUACAUGUAUUUUUCAGAAUAUUUGUCUCUUCUUAAUAACACCUUUCUGUACGAACUUCUAGGAAAAGAACACGAUGAUUUAAGCAAUGCCCCCCAGGCUUUCAGGUGCAUCCGAAUCCCCUGGGGAUCUCCU
rnacentral:lncRNA from 1 species